UAAGCGGAGGAAAAGAAACCACCAGGGAUUGCCUCAGUAGCGGCGAGUGAAGCGGCAAAAGCUCAAAUUUGAAAUCUGGCGUCUUUGGCGUCCGAGUUGUAAUUUGAAGAAGGUAUCUUUGGGCCCGGCUCUUGUCUAUGUUCCUUGGAACAGGACGUCACAGAGGGUGAGAAUCCCGUGCGAUGAGAUGACCCGGGUCUGUGUAAAGUUCCUUCGACGAGUCGAGUUGUUUGGGAAUGCAGCUCUAAGUGGGUGGUAAAUUCCAUCUAAAGCUAAAUAUUGGCGAGAGACCGAUAGCGAACAAGUACAGUGAUGGAAAGAUGAAAAGAACUUUGAAAAGAGAGUGAAAAAGUACGUGAAAUUGUUGAAAGGGAAGGGCUUGAGAUCAGACUUGGUAUUUUGCAUGCUGCUCUCUCGGGGGCGGCCGCUGCGGUUUACCGGGCCAGCAUCGGUUUGGAGCGGCAGGAUAAUGGCGGAGGAAUGUGGCACGGCUUCUGCUGUGUGUUAUAGCCUCUGACGAUACUGCCAGCCUAGACCGAGGACUGCGGUUUUUACCUAGGAUGUUGGCAUAAUGAUCUUAAGUCGCCCGUCUUGA
rnacentral:rRNA from 1 species